AUCCAGGUCAACAUCAGGCAUGGAGAUCUUGGGGGCUUUGAUGCUCAUCUCAGGCAUCUUGAACUUGGGGCCCUUUAGUUUCGCAUCUGGACCUUCGAUAUUCACAUCAGGAACAUCAACGUCCACUUUGGGUCCUGAGACAUCAAUGUCAGCCUUGGGCAGGUUCACAUCCACAUCUGGGCCCUCUCCUUUGAAGCCAGGCAUGCUGAACUUGGGCAUUUUCACUUUGGGCAUUUUUAAGUGCCAGUCUGGGCCUUGAACGUCCACAUCUGGGACAUCAAUGUCCACUUUGGGGCCCUUGAUGUCAACUUCAGGGCCCUUGAGGUCGCCUUCCACUUUGGGCAGAGAAACGUCCACGUCGCCCUUCAUCUUUGGACCUUUCAGAUUCAGGUCAACUUCAGGCAUAGAGAUCUUCGGUGCCUUGAGGUGCAGGUCAGGCAUUUUAAAUUUGGGGCCCUUCAGUUUCCCUUCUGGACCAUGAAUAUCAAUAUCAGGAGUGUCAAUGUCCACUUUGGGUCCUGAGACAUCAAUGUCAGCCUUGGGCAGGUUCACAUCCACAUCUGGGCCCUCUCCUUUGAAGCCAGGCAUGCUGAACUUGGGCAUUUUCACCUUGGGCAUCUUCAGGUGCCAGUCUGGACCCUGAACAUUAACAUCUGGGACAUCAAUGUCCACUUUGGGGCCUUUGAGGUCAACUUCAGGACCUUUCAGAUCUCCCUCUACC
rnacentral:lncRNA from 1 species